AUACGAAGGUCCCAAGCGUUAUUCGGAAUCACUGGGCGUAAAGAGUACGUAGGCGGUUUGGUAAGUCAGGUGUGAAAUCCCGGAGCUCAACUCCGGAACUGCAUCCGAUACUGCCAAACUUGAGUAAUGGAGAGGCAGGUGGAAUUCUCGGUGUAGCAGUGAAAUGCGUGGAUAUCGAGAGGAAGACCAAUGGCGAAGGCAGCCUGCUGGACAUUUACUGACGCUGAGGUACGAAGGCUAGGGGAGCGAAAGGGAUUAGAAACCCCGGUAGUCC
rnacentral:rRNA from 1 species